UACAGAGGGGGCAAGCGUUGUUCGGAAUUACUGGGCGUAAAGGGCGCGUAGGCGGCCUGUUAAGUCGAACGUGAAAUCCCCGGGCUCAACCCGGGAACUGCGUCCGAUACUGGCAGGCUUGAAUCCGGGAGAGGGAUGCGGAAUUCCAGGUGUAGCGGUGAAAUUCGUAGAUAUUGGGAAGAACACCGGUGGCGAAGGCGGCGCUCUGGACCGAGACGUGACCGCUGAGGCGCGAAAGCGUGGGGAGCAAACAGGAUUAAGAAAC
rnacentral:rRNA from 1 species